UACAGAGGGUGCAAACGUUGCUCGGAAUUAUUGGGCGUAAAGCGCGUGUAGGCGGCCUGCUAAGUCGGCUGUGAAAGCCCAUGGCUCAACCAUGGAAGUGCAGCCGAAACUGACAGGCUUGAGUCCUGGAGAGGGUGGCGGAAUGCCCAGUGUAGAGGUGAAAUUCGUAGAUAUUGGGUAGAACACCGGUGGCGAAGGCGGCCACCUGGACAGCGACUGACGCUAAGACGCGAAAGCGUGGGGAGCGAACAGG
rnacentral:rRNA from 1 species